rnacentral:rRNA from 1 species
CAUUGAGCCUUGAUGUGUAGGAUAGGUGGGAGGCUUUGAAGCGUGGACGCCAGUCUGCGUGGAGCCAACCUUGAAAUACCACCCUUUAAUGUUUGAUGUUCUAACGUUGGCCCCUUACCGGGGUUGCGGACAGUGUCUGGUGGGUAGUUUGACUGGGGCGGUCUCCUCCCAAAGCGUAACGGAGGAGCACGAAGGUUAGCUAAUCCUGGUCGGACAUCAGGAGGUUAGUGCAAUGGCAUAAGCUAGCUUGACUGCGAGCGUGACGGCGCGAGCAGGUGCGAAAGCAGGUCAUAGUGAUCCGGUGGUUCUGAAUGGAAGGGCCAUCGCUCAACGGAUAAAAGGUACUCCGGGGAUAACAGGCUGAUACCGCCCAAGAGUUCAUAUCGACGGCGGUGUUUGGCACCUCGAUGUCGGCUCAUCACAUCCUGGGGCUGAAGUAGGUCCCAAGGGUAUGGCUGUUCGCCAUUUAAAGUGGUACGCGAGCUGGGUUUAGAACGUCGUGAGACAGUUCGGUCCCUAUCUGCCGUGGGCGCUGGAGAAUUGAGGGGGGCUGCUCCUAGUACGAGAGGACCGGAGUGGACGCAUCACUGGUGUUCGGGUUGUCAUGCCAAUGGCACUGCCCGGUAGCUAAAUGCGGAAGAGAUAAGUGCUGAAAGCAUCUAAGCACGAAACUUGCCCCGAGAUGAGUUCUCCCUGAGACUUUAAGUCUCCUGAAGGAACGUUAAAGACGAUGACGUUGAUAGGCCGGGUGUGUAAGCGCAGCGAUGCGUUGAGCUAACCGGUACUAAUGAACCGUGAGGCUUAACCUUACAACGCCGAAG